UCGAAACGAUUCUUUAUGCCCCUCGUCCACUAGUUUAUCAAGCGUUUAAUCAACGCCUCUUUCACCUUUUGUUCGAGCAGCUUCAAGCUUCAAGCUUCAAGCCCAAUUAAGCAGGUUGUUCAUGAAUUAACAUAUGCUAUUUGACAAUUUCUCCAAGGAUAAUGGAUUCAAAUGACCAGAAAGUUAGGAUGUUGGCUUGUAGCGGGGGGUCGUGGACUACAGAAGAUGGAUAUACUAUGGUGUAUAGACCAUUCACGUUGAUGAGACGUACCUUAGAGCUACCAUUUGAUUCAACAUAUUCUCAAAUGAAGAGUUGUGUGGGAAAAAAGUUAAAGCUAUCCCCACAUUAUGAUUUUAGGAUGUCUUACCAACUCCCCCUUUCAUCUUCCGAUAAAAAUAAGCCUGUGGUUGUAGAGAUUGAUGAUGACGAGGACGUUGAGAUAUUUCUGGAUAUCGCGAAUAAAGCAUCACAUGGACUGCUUACAUUAUAUAUUUUUCGGGCUUGAUAUCCGGAUUACUAAGUGAUUAAAUGUUAAUCUCCACGGUUACAUUUUGCUCGUUCAAGUGAGCUCCCUUGAACGGAAAAGCUUAAUGCUAUCGAAUAAAGCUUGUCACUAUUGCAUCGACAAUUUACUUUGAAUCUUGCUAUGUUGUACACCCUUUUCUGUGAAGUUUAUAUUGGGAAUGUAUGCUUGAUAUUACAAAUGCUUUAUUUGAGAA